UACAGAGGGUGCAAGCGUUGUUCGGAAUUAUUGGGCGUAAAGCGCGCGCAGGCGGUCCUUUAAGUCUGAUGUGAAAGCCCACGGCUCAACCGUGGAGGGUCAUUGGAAACUGGGGGACUUGAGUGCAGAAGAGGAAAGUGGAAUUCCAAGUGUAGCGGUGAAAUGCGUAGAGAUUUGGAGGAACACCAGUGGCGAAGGCGACUUUCUGGUCUGUAACUGACGCUGAGGCGCGAAAGCGUGGGGAGCAAACAGG
rnacentral:rRNA from 1 species